CGGGAAUGACAUAUUGGUGGUAGGGAUCCGAAAGGUGACCGACCCUUCGGGGAGCCUUUACAGGUGCUGCAUGGCUGUCGUCAGCUCGUGUCGUGAGAUGUCCGGUUAAGUCCGGUAACGAGCGCAACCCUUGCUGUAUGUUACACGUAUCAUACGGGACUGCCGGCUUAAGGCCGGAGGAAGGCGGGGAUGACGUCAAGUCAGCAUGGCCUUUAUAUCCGGGGCUACACACACGCUACAAUGGUCAGUACAAUAGGUCGCAAAACCGCGAGGUGGAGCCAAUCCUCAAAACUGAUCUCAGUUCAGAUUGCAGGCUGCAACCCGCCUGCAUGAAGCUGGAGUUGCUAGUAACCGCGCGUCAGCCAUAGUGCGGUGAAUACGUUCCCGGGUCU
rnacentral:rRNA from 1 species